rnacentral:lncRNA from 1 species
ACUCCUGUAAGCAUAAAUGUGUUAGUGUGAUUUGCUAAUCAACAGAUCAUUUGGCUCUCAACGCAAAUCAAGGGACCGUUUGAGUGAGAAAUAGCUUACGUUUGGGGGCUGCUCUUUAGUACUCUCAAAAGAGUUAGGUUGGGAUGGGUGAAAGCUCAUAUCAUAGUUUUUAUACAUCCUAAAAUUUAUUAGACUACUCUACUUGAAUCCUUGUUUAAAUCGCUAAGUUAUUUCGGCGUAAAGUUAUUUUUAUAUCUUCCUGCUCUCUGCUUUCUUAUUUGUCCUUCGUGUAUGCUAAAGGAGAUGGCUUAAAACUUUGAUCAAAUUGAGUCUAAACUUGCUUAUCUUUAAACUAUGUAUGAAUUCGUUUCGCACUCUUUUUUUUUUUUNNNNN